rnacentral:lncRNA from 1 species
AUGCAUUCAUUCAACAUAUAUAGAAGAUACAUCAGUUUUCUUCACUCAAGUUAUCUACAACCAUUCAAGAAAUACACAAGUCUGACAUAUAGGAUGUGGCAUGUUAAAAAAUAUGAUGGCGAAGUUCCUAAGAAACCAAUUCUUCAUUCACUUGACUACUACAAGAUAUUAUGUAAGGGACCAAGUCUAUGUUCACCAAGUCAACAUCAACUUCCUUAUGACCAAAAUGUGUUGACCAUGUUAUGAACAAAAGUGAUCACAAGAACAUCCUAGAUCAUCUUGUGGUCUUACUUUCUGCCAUUUGUCCGUGAAAAAGCACUCAUAUGUUUGAGGAUCAUAGGAAUGAGAAUUUUUUUCAAAUUUGUGUGUUGUCAAAAUGAGUAGAUGCUGGGAUUAUCUGCACGUAACUCCAAAAAAAUCAUGCCUACAUUUACUACGUGCUCUCUAUUUGAUUCAUCUAUAUUCCAUUUAAUCACUAAAUGCUCUGGUUCAUCUAUCUACUCGCCACUAAACUAUUCGCAGUCCUAAUAUAAAUUUUCACAAACCUAGUGUAAAUAUUCACUUCCAUUAGUAUAGGCAAGAACAAUAGAUUAUUAGUGAAUUUGGUUGCUAAUAGACUGAAAGUAUAGCAUGCACCUGGACCUGCGCCGCCGCCCACGUGAACCCGCACAGCCGCCGCCCUCCUGUACCUGCCCCGUUGGGCCCCGUGGCGGACUAACCCCAAUAC